GUGCCAGCAGCCGCGGUAAUACGGAAGGUCCGGGCGUUAUCCGGAUUUAUUGGGUUUAAAGGGAGCGUAGGCUGUCUAUUAAGCGUGUUGUGAAAUUUACCGGCUCAACCGGUGGCUUGCAGCGCGAACUGGUCGACUUGAGUAUGCAGGAAGUAGGCGGAAUUCAUGGUGUAGCGGUGAAAUGCUUAGAUAUCAUGACGAACUCCGAUUGCGCAGGCAGCUUACUGUAGCAUAACUGACGCUGAUGCUCGAAAGUGCGGGUAUCAAACAGGAUUAGAUACCCUGGUAGUCCGCACGGUAAACGAUGGAUGCUCGCUAUUCGUCCUAUUUGGAUGAGUGGCCAAGUGAAAACAUUAAGCAUCCCACCUGGGGAGUACGCCGGCAACGGUGAAACUCAAAGGAAUUGGCGGGG
rnacentral:rRNA from 2 species